CAGUACUACUGUACGUGGUAAUAAUUAACUCGAAAUGGCAUUUACGACGCUGAGAUGUGAUGUGUGCUGCUUUCCCUCAUCCCUCCAGCAAACAGGACGUACUGACUCUGAACAGGCCUUCGGUCUUCAGAUGUAGUGACUUGGCCAAGGUCACAGAGAAAAUGGGUAACAGAUCUCCUGCUUCUCACCUGCAGCUUUUGCUAUGUGCUCAGCAGCUAGUGACUAGACCAUCCCUCAGCAGGCAGCAGCAACAGCCAGAAAUCUAGAUUCCUGAGGACGUGACAUCAGUGAUUGAGCUCAGACCCUGUGCUAUGCCCGUUAUCUACAUCAGCUCGUUUUUUUUUUUUAAUUUAAAAGCUAAUGAUACUAUCAGCGAUAGCCAAAUUAUGGAAAGAGCCCAAAUGCACAUCAACUGAUGAAUGGAUAAAGAAGAUGUGGUAUAGAUAUACAAUGGAAUAUUACUCGGUGAUCAAAAACAAUGAAAUCUUGCCAUUUGCAACUACGUGGAUGGAACUAGAGUGUGUUAUGCUAAGCGAAAUAAGUCAGUCAAAGAAAGACAAAUAUCAUACGAUUUCACUCAUGAUUGGAAUUUAAGAAACAAAACAGAUGAACAUAGGGGAAGGGAAGCAAAAAGAAGAUCAAAACAGAGAGGGAGACAAACCAUAAGAGACUCUUGAAUAUAGAGCACAAAUUGAGGGUUGCUGGAGGGGUGUUGGGUGGGGGGACGGGGUAAAUGGGUGACGGGCAUUAAGGAGGCCCUUGUGGGGAUGAGCACUGGGUGUUCUAUGUAAGUGAUGAAUCACUAAAUUCUAUUCCUGAAAUCAUUAUUACACUAUAUGUUAACUAACUUGGAUUUUAAUUUUAAAAAAUAAAAAUAAAAAGCUACUGAUAGGGUGGGGUGCCCGUGUGGCUGA